CCUACGGGGGGUAGCAGUGGGGAAUAUUGGGCAAUGGGCGCAAGCCUGACCCAGCAACGCCGCGUGAAGGAAGAAGGCUUUCGGGUUGUAAACUUCUUUUAAGGGGGACGAACAAAUGACGGUACCCCUUGAAUAAGCCACGGCUAACUACGUGCCAGCAGCCGCGGUAAUACGUAGGUGGCAAGCGUUAUCCGGAUUUAUUGGGUGUAAAGGGCGUGUAGGCGGGAGCGCAAGUCAGAUGUGAAAACUCAGGGCUCAACCCUGAGCCUGCAUUUGAAACUGGCAAACUGGAGUGUGUGAGAGGAUAGUGGAAUUCCAGGUGUAGGAGUGAAAUCCGUAGAUAUCUGGAGGAACAUCAGUGGCGAAGGCGACUAUCUGGCACAUAACUGACGCUGAGGAGCGAAAGCGUGGGUAGCAAACAGGAUUAGAUACCCGUGUAGUC
rnacentral:rRNA from 1 species